GACGAACGCUGGCGGCGUGCUUAACACAUGCAAGUCGAACGGAGUGGCGAACGGGUGAGUAAUGUAUCGGAACGUGCCCAGUAGCGGGGGAUAACUACGCGAAAGCGUAGCUAAUACCGCAUACUAUUGGAGCGGCCGAUAUCGGAGUAGCUAGUUGGUGGGGUAACGGCUCACCAAGGCGACGAGCCGUAGCUGGUUUGAGAGGACGACCAGCCACACUGGGACUGAGACACGGCCCAGACUCCUACGGGAGGCAGCAGUGGGGAAUUUUGGACAAUGGGGGAAACCCUGAUCCAGCCAUCCCGCGUGUGCGAUGAAGGCCUUCGGGUUGUAAAGCACUUUUGGCAGGAAAGCGGUACCGGAAUAGAAAGCCACGGCUAACUACGUGCCAGCAGCCGCGGUAAUAC
rnacentral:rRNA from 1 species